rnacentral:tRNA from 1 species
GAGGGUAUAGCUCAGUGAUAGAGAGCAUGCUUAGCAUGCACGAGGUCAUGGGUUCAAUCCUCAGUACCUCCA